UUUGUUAUUUUUUUAUUAUUAUUUUAGUUCAUUUUUGAAUGUGUUUUUACUAGGAUAGAGAUUUUUUUCUUAUGCUAUUCCAACACAUUUGGAGCUCCAAGAAAGUUAAAAACAUUGUUGACUAGAAAUUUUCUUCUUCUUUUUUCUUCUUUUUUGUCCACAAUGACUACAAUUACCAGCUCCAUGUAUGAAGGACAACCGCG
rnacentral:lncRNA from 1 species